rnacentral:rRNA from 1 species
GAGUUUGAUCCUGGCUCAGGAUGAACGCUAGCGGCAGGCCUAAUACAUGCAAGUCGAACGAGAUCAGUUCUUUCGGGAACUGGUUUAGUGGCGCACGGGUGCGUAACGCGUAUGCAACCUACCUUCCACAGGGGGAUAGCCCACCGAAAGGUGGAUUAAUACCGCAUAACACCACGGUCCUGGCAUCAGGAUGUGGUCAAAGAUUUAUCGGUGGAAGAUGGGCAUGCGUGCCAUUAGUUAGUUGGUAGGGUAACGGCCUACCAAGACUUCGAUGGCUAGGGGUUCUGAGAGGAUGGUCCCCCACACUGGUACUGAGACACGGACCAGACUCCUACGGGAGGCAGCAGUAGGGAAUAUUGGGCAAUGGCCGAGAGGCUGACCCAGCCAUGCCGCGUGCAGGAAGAAGGCCUUCUGGGUUGUAAACUGCUUUUAUCUGGGAAGAAAACGCCCCUGCGGGGGUAACUGACGGUACCAGAUGAAUAAGCACCGGCUAACUCCGUGCCAGCAGCCGCGGUAAUACGGAGGGUGCAAGCGUUGUCCGGAUUUAUUGGGUUUAAAGGGUGCGUAGGCGGCCCUGUAAGUCAGUGGUGAAAUCCCAGGGCUCAACCCUGGAACUGCCAUUGAUACUGCAGGGCUUGAGUUCGGUUAAGGCGGGCGGAACUGGUGGUGUAGCGGUGAAAUGCAUAGAUACCACCAAGAACCCCGAUUGCGUAGGCAGCUCGCUGAGCCGAAACUGACGCUGAGGCACGAAAGCGUGGGGAGCGAACAGGAUUAGAUACCCUGGUAGUCCACGCCGUAAA